rnacentral:snRNA from 1 species
UUUUCCAUUGACUUUUUGUCGAC